rnacentral:tRNA from 1 species
GCGGGUGUAACUCAGUGGUAGAGCACCAGUUUGUGGCACUGGGGGUCGUGGGUUCAAUCCCCAUCACUCGCCCCA